UGUUUUGAACCCGACCCUGAUUAAAAAAUCUGGUCCAAAAUUAUGUGGUGUACAAUAUCUCAAUUUUUUUUGUGAAAUAUGGUGCUUAAAUCGUCAAUGAGGCCGACCUGGUCGACGGUGUGAUUUGGCUGGCCGCGUGGACCGCCGGUCAAGGAGAUGUGGCGUCCUUGCCAGCCUCGUCAUGGCCGCUCAUCAAGUCGACGGCGGCUGCUCCCACGGUACCCUGUCAAUUAUGCAUUUUAUAAGGGAUAUUGCAUUCCCUAAAAAGGAUGGGUAGCUCAUCAGUCUUUUUCUGAGAGUAGUUUGGUUGAACUACUGAGUACUGUCAAAGAUUAUGCAAGACCCUGAAGCCAUUGAUGACAGAAGCAUGAAAGGCUGACUAGGUUGCAUGUGUGGUUACAGGAAAAUGAAGCGACCUCUGCAUCAGUUUGUGAACUAAGCAAGAGAUGUGCGGAGAUCAAGUGUAACAGUUCAAGGAUGAGGACGGCCGGCUCGUUCAGGGGAGGACGGUGAGCUCGUUCGGGGGAG